GAAACAGCAGUGUACAAGACACUUUGAAAAUCUUUUCACUAGCUCUGGAUUUAGGAGUCUCACUUCAAUAUUAAGAUAUACACGAAACUCUUCUGCCUCCUGACCUCAAGGUGGAUGUUCAGUUGGCCCAGGCCAAUUGUUGGAAAGAUUGUUCUUUCCCUCCUUGAAUCUUCUUGGAACCAUUGUCACAAGUCAACCAAGCAUAAAUGUAUUUACGCCAAUCUAAGCAGGCUUCUGAGCGAAUGAAUCGAACCCAUCAGACACGGGUGUGUCAGAGGGAAAGAGGCGCGCGAGGGAUGGCAGUUCCGGACAACUUCAAAGUUGUUGGCAUAAACAAAGGAGUGGCUGAAUGUGACAAUUACUGCAAUUGGGACGCUGGAGAGGACCAGGAAAAUCAUAUCGGGAGAAGAAAAAUCUGUCCAGAGUCCAUUCAGACUGCUUUGAGAAUUUCCUGAAAUAAAUAGUAACGCAAAGGGGCCUAACCCAAAUAUUGAUGGUGAUGAUUGAUUGCUACCUUGCAGCCAUGGGCUUCCCCCUGUACAAAUAUUUUGAAACCACUUCUAUUAUGUUCAAC